UCUCAAGCGUUGUUCGGAUUCAUUGGGCGUAAAGGGUGCGUAGGCGGCGCGGUAAGUCGGUUGUGAAAUCUCGGAGCUUAACUCCGAAACUGCAUUCGAUACUGCCGUGCUUGAGGACUGGAGAGGAGACUGGAAUUUACGGUGUAGCGGUGAAAUGCGUAGAUAUCGUAAGGAAGACCAGUGGCGAAGGCGGGUCUCUGGACAGUUCCUGACGCUGAGGCACGAAGGCCAGGGGAGCAAACGGG
rnacentral:rRNA from 1 species